AGAGUUUGAUCCUGGCUCAGGAUGAACGCUAGCGGCAGGCCUAAUACAUGCAAGUCGUACGGGAUCCCCUCCUUCGGGAGGGGUGAGAGUGGCGGACGGGUGCGUUACGCGUAUGCAACCAACCCCCGACGGGCGUACAGCCGGUGGAAACGCCGGGUGAUGCGCCAUGCGGCCGGGAGAGGGCAUCCUCUUUCGGCGAAAGCCCUUGGGCGGUCGGGGACGGGCAUGCGUGCCAUUAGCUAGUUGGCGGGGUAACGGCCCACCAAGGCGACGAUGGUUAGGGGUUCUGAGAGGAAGGUCCCCCACAUUGGAACUGAGACACGGUCCAGACUCCUACGGGAGGCAGCAGUGAGGAAUAUUGGACAAUGGCCGGAAGGCUGAUCCAGCCAUGCCGCGUGCGGGAAGACGGCCCUAUGGGUUGUAAACCGCUUUUGUUGGGGAGCAAUAAGGUCCACGUGUGGAUUGAUGAGAGUACCCAGCGAAUAAGCAUCGGCUAACUCCGUGCC
rnacentral:rRNA from 1 species